CAACGAUUGCCCCUCACGAGGGGACAGCUGGUAAUGGGAUACCUU
rnacentral:misc_RNA from 2 species